GCAGCUCCUCCUUCUUUUCCCGGGAUUUCAAGGAAUGGGGGGCGCAGGUUGAGUUUUGCGGCCAGGAUGGCUCUGCGCCCUGCGCCCCUCUUGCUUCUGGUGUUGGUGGUGAUCGCCCUGCGGGAGAGCUGCUGCAAGCGACGUCAAGAAGACUACAGAGCAACAUCGAGUGAGUGAUUUGUCCUCUUCACACGUGAGCUCCAGUUCAUAGCGGGCACCGGACCUCCGGUGAACAUGGCCAAUGGAUGACAAGCCCAGGAAGGCUCGUCUCUCUCUGGAUUGUCGGGGUUUUUUUUCCCCAGCUUACUAAUGGAAGGAACUUGGAUUCCUUUACUUUAUAUGACUCUCCUGGGAUAGGGAGAGUCCUAGAAUCCUCCCCACACGAUUCUCCAUACAGCAAGGGUUUGCAAGAAGUUUCAGGAGCUGUGCUUUGGAGGUGUGGGUGAGCCAUCCAGCUGGAGGGAUGGGGCUGCAAUCCCUUUGUUUUGGAAUUUAUUUAUUAAUUUAUAAAUUAAUUUAUUAAUUUAUGCGCUUUGGAAUUUAUUUUUCAGACAAAUGAUAAAGUUGUGCCAUUUAUUUUUUAAUUUAUGAGAUUAUUAUCUGUAUUAGCUAAAAGAGGCUCUUUCUAGUCACAGCCUGUUACUACAUUUUGAAGCUCUGCACCAUUUUUGAGACUUUUUAUUGUUAAACAAGGAAGAGGAUAAUAAUAAUAAUAAUAAUAAUAAAAAUAAUUGGCAUUGACAAAU